AAUAAGCAAAUCAAUCUCAGACCAUGGACUAGUUUCCAGACAUCUCUGGGCCGAUUCUUGGAGGAGGCAGCUCCUGGCAAAGCCACCCCCCAGAGUCAGGCCCUCAAUGGUUCUCCCAGCGCAGUGGGCCCUGGGUGCAGCGAUGGUGCAGAGAUCGGUGUGAUGCUGGCUCUACCUGCGGUUCCUGACCCCUCCAGGGGCUCCAGCGCGGCUCCCCCAUCCUCAGGCAGAGCUCAGAGCAGAGUCAGCAGCCCCUCCCCGGCAAGAGCUCCAAGCGAAGGCAGAGGCCUGGCAGAGAGAGGAGAGGGGCACAGGCAGGUCAGCGGAGGGGUGGAAGGUGGAUCCCACCCCAGGAGAUUUAACAGAGAGAGGAAAGCGGGGCUGUGAGAGUGCAGAACAGAGACACCCCCAAGCAAAUCCCCCCACCCCAGACACCGAGAUCCCGGCCUGGGAGAGCCCUGGCAGAGGGGUUCGCUCCCCAACACUUACUCACGACAGCUGCAGCAAGGAGUCCUUGUGGGGUGGGAGGAGCUGCCACCCCGCUCCAGCUGGCUGGAUCUGGAGAGAUACAACAGUGAAGAGUGCGGUGAGGAGUUGGGGCCCUGGGAAAGAGGUGAAACAAGAGUGGGGGCUAAGGGCAGAACAGGGGGGGAGCAUCUACUGGGAAAAAUAAGUCAGUGCCUGUGGAGGGGAAGGCCGGGGGCUCUGUUCCACAAGGGCUGAGCGUGUCAGAGCAAAACUCCUGCGCAGUGUCAUUGUGGCCUCCCCCUGAGCGUCCCUGAUUCCCCAGGGUAUACUGCAUUUCCCCGGCUCCUUCCCUUGCUAGGUGUAAUUUCAGGAAAUGAAACAAAUCACUCUCCUGUCCCUAACCCCCACAGCCGCUGUGUAUGAGCCACUGCCAGGCCUCUCGAGAUGGGCUAACAUCUGGAUCCUGACCAAGCUGGUUCUAUCCCACGUGGCCAAUUGCAAGUGACCAAAAAAAAAAAAAAAAAAUCACAAGUCAGAGCCCCCACAAAAAACAUUUGAUUGUUUUUAGAGUCUUGUUGGUUUUAAGCCAACAAUUUUGGGUUCUGUUCUCCAUCUCCUGGUGUUGGAGCCUUUUCGGGGGGGGGGGGGGGGUGUCACCUUUUCAAGCUUUUCUCCCCAUCCAGGAGAGCAAGAGCAAGAAAAAUUUCUGCCAGGAAUGGCCAACCCCACCAAAAACUUCUACCAGCACCGGAAAACAGCUAGUCCAAAAUUGGGGAAAAAACAAAACAAAAACCCCACACCAUCCAAACCAUUUUUGGUUUUUGAAUUUUCCAACAAAAAAUUGAUUUUUCCCUGUUAAAGUGACACUUUCCACAAAAAAUUGUCUUUAAUCAAACACCCAAUUUUCCCUAGCAAAAAAUGUUGAUGGAAACAUUUCAGUGUAUUAGUUAAAGUUGCUGUGAACUCCCCACCUCCCCACACAUCCCCACCGGCACCAGCCCCCGCACCUAUGGGGCAUGCAGCUGUGGCCCCUGCCUGGCUGUAGGGCCCUUUCCCUGCCCCCCAAACAGCAGCUGGAGCCACGCCCCUCCUCCCCCUCCCGUGCUCCCGCCCCUUGUCCAAUCAGAAGCAAUAUGCUAAUAAGGUGUAUGGUCUUCCCGUGCUGUGUAGUUUCAUUCUCCUCGCGGCUGGCUUUUUCGCUCGCUUUGCCUUGCAGGAGCCAUGGGGGAAGACAUGAUGUGUGUGAAGGGGGGAGUUGGGGCUCCCCCCUCAGCUAAUGCACAGAGCGGGGGAGAUGGAGCAGGGACCUGCCUUGCAAAGGAUGCUGCAGCCAUGGAGUCCCUGGAGGAGAGGGAUCCGGGUGCAAACUCUGCCCCAGGGACUGGCUGCUGCACGGGGACAAGUGCUACUGGCUGUCUAAGGAGCGUAAAGACUGGACUGGGAGCUGUGACGACUGCUCGGGGAAGAGCUCUCGCAUGCUCGUGAUCCAGAACCGGGAGGAGAUGGUAACAGAAAAUACAGGCUCAUCCAACUCCAGCUGGGGAAAGACGAUUUCAUACAAGAUGUUGUACAAGACGCAAACUACAUCUGGAUUGGCCUUAAAGUGACACCCCCGGGGGGGAAAUGGACCUGGGUGGACGGUUCCCCAUUAGAUCCAGUGCGGUGAGUGCUGCCUGACGUUUACUCUUUGAGAUGUUUGGGGAAAGCUCCCAUUGUAUAACUUGCUAACGCUGAAUGUCCAACGUCUGUUUGAGGCCUGGUCUACACUGAAAAGUCUUCCCAGCGUGACUACGUCGGUUAAGGGUAUUUUUCCGAACAGAGGUGUGCCAGCAAAGGCCCUAGUGUAGCUGCCGUUCUACCAAUGUCUCUGUGUGUAGAGCAGUGUAGCUUAGGGGGACCAGGGGAGCUGGCAUGAGCGAUAGUGGUAGAAGCACGUGUAUAUGGAUAGAACUGUACUUAUCCUUAGGGGACCCAGCUAUUUCCCUCUUUCCAUUGUGAAAACUGAGCAUUUAUUCCUGUUGUUUCCUAUCUUUUAACCAGUUACUGAUCCAUGAGAGGACCUUCCCCCUUAUCCCAUGACACCUUCCUUUGCUUAAAAGCCUUUGGUGAGGGACCUUAUAGUUUCCUACUUCUAAUGUACUUAAUUUUUUUAGGUUUUGCAUCUUUAGGAAGUUGCUUCUCAAACUCUUCCUUGGCCUGCCUCCUUAUACUUUACAAUUUACUUGCUGGAGUUUUGCUCCGUCCUAGUUUCCUCAUUAGGUUUAGACUUCCAGUUUUCAAGGAUGCUUUUUGCCUCUAAUGGCCUCCUUUACUCUGCUGUUUAGCCAGGAUAGCAUUUUUCUGGUCCUCCUCCUGUCUUUUUUUAUUUGGGGUACAC